rnacentral:rRNA from 1 species
GACGAACGCUGGCGGCGUGCUUAACACAUGCAAGUCGAACGGAAAGGCCCUGCUUUUGUGGGGUGCUCGAGUGGCGAACGGGUGAGUAACACGUGAGUAACCUGCCCUUGACUUUGGGAUAACUUCAGGAAACUGGGGCUAAUACCGGAUAGGAGCUCCUGCUGCAUGGUGGGGGUUGGAAAGUUUCGGCGGUUGGGGAUGGACUCGCGGCUUAUCAGCUGGUUGGUGGGGUAGUGGCUUACCAAGGCUUUGACGGGUAGCCGGCCUGAGAGGGUUACCGGGCACAAUGGGACUGAGAGAGGGCCCAGACUCCAACGGGACGCAGCAGUGGGGAAUAUUGCACAAUGGGCGGAAGCCUGAUGCAGAAGCGCCGCGUGCGGGAUGACGGCCUUCGGGUUGUAAACCGAUUUCGACGGUGACGAAGCGUGAGUGACGGUAAUGGGUAAAGAAGCACCGGCUAACUACGUG